rnacentral:rRNA from 1 species
UACGGAGGAUCCAAGCGUUAUCCGGAUUCAUUGGGUUUAAAGGGUGCGUAGGCGGCUUAUUAAGUCAGUGGUGAAAUCUCGAGGCUCAACUUCGGAACUGCCAUUGAUACUGAUAAGCUUGAGUGUAAAUGAAGUGGGCGGAAUGUGUCGUGUAGCGGUGAAAUGCUUAGAUAUGACACAGAACACCGAUUGCGAAGGCAGCUCACUAAACUAAAACUGACGCUGAGGCACGAAAGCGUGGGGAUCAAACAGG